CAGACAUAGGAUUUGAUGCAUUGAUACUGCCAACUUUCAAAUGAACAACCAAAGACUUGCUUUUGCUCCAGUCACCACACGAUCAUACUCGUGGGGAAGAUAUGUACAUUGCUGUUCGCCAAGCCUGUGAUGAAAUGAAUGUUCUGCUAAAUUCAGUUGUUUCUGUUACAACAGAUGGAGCUUUGAGUUUGACUGGUAAACAUUGGGAACUAGUUGCUGAAAUGACAAAGGAUCAGGCAAAUGUGUAGCAUUUCACGGUAUUGUGCAUCAAUAGGCUCUGUGGAGUUGUUAAUGUAAUAAACUUCAUUUGUGUCAUACCUUUACUACACCACUGCUUUCUUUCUUUGCUGCAAGAAAUUGAGUCUUCAUAUGGUGAUAUACUAAGUCGAGAUAACCUUCUUCAAAGAUUUGUUGCAUUACUUCCAGAAAUUGUGCAGUUUCUUUCUGAAAUCGUAGAGGAGGAUAAAUAUCCCAAAUUAAAAGAUGACAGCUGGAAGAAAGACUUGGCAUUCCUUGCUGAUCUCACUGGGCAUCUAAACAAGCUGAAUACACAACUACAGAGUGAACAAAAAUUGAUGAGUUAAUGUGCGCUGUUACCAGUUUUAAGAUCAAUCACUCAAAUUAAAGACGGAAACCUCACGCCUUUCCUGAUGUUAAAUGAAGCAUGGGAGGUGCUCUGGAAAGUGACAAAAGAGAAAUAUUUAUUAUUUUAGUACAGCAGCUACAAGAAAAGUUUUCAGCACAUUUUGGCGAUUUCGUGAAAGUAGAGUCUGCUGGUGCUUUUCUCCGGGAUACUUACACCUUCCCUAUUUUAAAACUAAAAGAUCUUGCUGAAACAUUUAAAGUUCCCAGGCAGGGACUGGAAAUUGAGCUGUCAGAUUUGCAGGGACCGAGAGCAACUUACACACUACAGCAUGCAAGUUCUAUUCUGGAAUUAUGGAAAUGUGUUGCUGAACAAAAUUUGCAUCUUUUGAAUGCCAAAAUACAGUCUGUGUUUGGAUCGGCUUACAUUGUGAACAUACAUGCUCAGCCAUGUGCCAGAUUAAGUCCUGAUAUCGUGCACGCUUGGCUGAUGCAAAUCUUCAUGUCCAGCUGCAAUGUACUGUUACCCAUCUUCAACCUGACUGUGAAGCAAUUAUUGCUUCGAACAAAGGAAGCUGCCAGAUUUCCCACUAAUUGA
rnacentral:lncRNA from 1 species